rnacentral:rRNA from 1 species
CAUGGUCAUACCACUCUGAAUGUUGUUUCCAAUCUCAAAACCUAAGCCAGGCUGGGCCUGGUGAGAGCUUGGCUGGGAGAACUACAAAGAACUCUGGUGAGCACCAAUA